rnacentral:lncRNA from 1 species
ACACACACACACACACACACACACACACACACAUAUAUAUACAUAUACAUAUAUAUAUAUAUAUAUAUAUAUAUAUAUAUAUAUAUAUAUAUAUAUGGAUCGAUGGCUAUAUUCACUUAUAUUUAUAUAAAACAAGUGACGGAAAUAGAAACUGGAAUUCACGAGAAUCUACAUUCAUCACAUUGAUCGUUUCGACCCAUCCUGAUUCCCUUGCAGAUCAGAUACUAUACAACUGGUUGUUUUUCAUCUUUCAGUGUCCUUAUAAAGGCACCUGACGAGAUAUACAUUUGCACCGAACGAUGCAACACAACCAAGUGCAUAGUACCCCACCGUCAAAGGACCGAUGCAAGAUGGAUCGAAACGAUCGUUGUGAUGAAUAGAGAUUCUCGUGAAUUCCAGUUACCGUUUCCUUCAUUUGCUAUAUACCCAACAUACUCUGUGGAAUUCCUCGGGUAGAUCCAGUGACACUUAUAUCAAAACUGUGGAUGACAUCAGGUUGCCAUGGACUGUGAAAGUGAUUUAAUCGGCAUAUUACUAGGUGUGUGUCAGUCUGUAUGUAUAUAUAUAUAUAUAUAUAUAUGCACACAUUAAGUAGAGGACAUCAACAACGGUGUAGAAUAUAUAACCACAUAACGAAGGACAAGUAGGAGACAAAAUACCAAAAGAAUCUAACUCCUCCUCAGUUGACGACUGUUUAUUACUCCCUGUUUAGACUUUUCAACGACUAUUUACAUACAUACAUGCAUACAUACAUACAUACAUACAUACAUACAUACAUACAUACAUACAUACAUACAUAUAUAUAUACACAUACAUACACAAAUAGAUAGAUAGAUAGAUUCAUUUAUUUAUUUAUUUAUUUAUGUAGCAUAAGUAACAGAGUGACUCAAAGUCCAUGAGUUUCGUGCUAACGCACGAAACUCUCAGGCUUCGAGUCACUAUGUUACUUCUGCUAAAUAUUAAUAAAAAUAUACAUAUAUUCAUAUUUUAAGGUCCAUUUUUCUUCUUUGUACCAACAUAUAUAUAUAUAUAUAUAUGUUGGUAUGUACCAAAAUAUUUAUAUAUAUAUAUAUACAUAUAUAUGUGCGUGUGUUUGUGUGUGUGUGCGUGUGUGUAUACGCGCGUGCACACGCACACAGACACACACACACAUACACACACAAACAUACACAUGCACAUAUAUAAAUAAAUAAGAUCGUUUCCUUCAGUUUUUGUCUACCAACUCUACACACAGGAUUUUCAUUGGGCCGAGGCUAUGGUAGAAGACAGUGGCUCAGCAGGACUGAACCCAGAACCAUAUGGUUGGGAAGUAAGUAUCUUACCACACAGCCAUGCCUUCACCGAAGUAUGUUUCUUAUGUAUAACGAAGGUAAUGUCUCUACCUUAGUAUUUAGUAGAGGUAUACCACAGAUUCAAUGUAUCCCAUUACGAUGAGCUUGUGCGAGUUUCGAAUUAAUCAAGCUAUACUUUGUCCUUCCUACCUUAUUUCCGACGAGGUAGGUCGCGAGUUCGGUUUGCGAAAAGACGAAAUGUCUCAGCGCUGUAUACAUAUUUGGCAUAUUUUCAUAUGAUUUCUCUGAACUAUUCAAUGUUUACACACCCGUCUUCGACUUUUGUUGGGUUUUUUUUGUAAAUUCUCACCAUAUUCCAUGUCCAUUGUGUGACUAAUAUCGCAUAUCGAAUUUGUUAUGCAAACAUAAAAAUGUCUCUAUUGCUUGUCCUACUCGGCUCGCAUUGUGCUUGAAAAAGGCAACAUAAUAAUUGGGAAAGGCAAAAAUUAAAGAAAUAGAGAAUGCCUCCGCAUGGAAAAUGAACAAUCAUGUAAUUAAAUGCUUUAAACUGAGAUCUAACAGGUUACUGAUAAUGCGUUGUAGAAUGCAAAUCUUUCUAACAGGUUUAAGUGCCUAAUUAGAGUGGAUAUAUAUUUAAUCCCUCAGCAGAAUAGUUCAAGAGUGUGCUCUGACAAUAAUAAAAUCUCAACAUAAGAUUAAAGAUAUUUCAGUUGACCACCCACAUGAAAAUAUAUUAUAUGAAGAUAAAAUGUUUACAUGUCUUUUGAGUAUAGUAUUGACUAAAACCUAAUACACACACACACACACACACACACACAUAUAUAUAUAUAUAUAUAUAUAUAUAUAUAUAUAUAUAUAUAAAACUUUGCUUGACUGAGAGAGCAAGGACCCUAAAUUUGCUUGAUGCCUGGACUUUCUUAAACUCCAAAAGUGACAUGUUCAGUCGGUGCCUUCAUGUGAUGAAAUUCUUCAUGUAGAGAUGAAAUUCCACGCCUUCCCACCAGCGAAUGUGGAUCGUAAAUAUACUAAACCUUUUCCGAUGCAAUGGAAACUAGUCAAAGAGAGUUAACUCCAUCUCGCCCCGAAAGGAAGUCGCUUGGUGAUACUUCAGGGUUUUUGUCCCUUUUUUACAACCCUAACUGAACAAGACUGCAUUCAUAUAUCCAGGAGAUAUGUUAUGAACCUCGAUCAAUAGGUCUGAAGUGUCACCAUAUCACUAAGAGAAUAACAGGGCAAAACCAGCGGAAACUCCCUGACCAGCCAUAACCAACAACUACAUUUUAUACACACACGAAUACACACACACACAUAUACAUAUAUAUACGCACAAAUGCAUACAUACAUAGGUAAAUAGAUAAAUAAAUAAAUAAAUAAAUAAAUAGAUAUAUUUCUUUAUUGGCCACACAAGGAUGAAGACAGAGGGGUCAAAAUACAAAGUAGAGCUUUUCUUUUUCGCCGGAGAGAAGGAAAAGUAAAAGAAAAGGAAAGGGGUUAGAAAUUCGAUUAAAAGGGAUCGUUAAAAAAAAGCUGAUCAAUAGGGGAUCGAGUAUCACAGAAAUGUCAUAGUGUAAAAAGAGGAAACAGAUUACGCUUAUCCGUGGAAAGAAAAGCCUACAAAAAAGACCACAGUAACCUCGGGCAAUAAUAUCAUGCAAAAAAACGCAUUACAGUAAGUGACUCUCCUUUGUCAAUCGCACGUGCCAUCCUUGCUACAUUCACCCAUGUUUUUUUUUAAACAUUCACUAGAUAAAACUUCCCUCUCUACUCUCACUUUACUCUUCAAAUGAUACUUGUAGAAGUUGAUGAGAUAUUGACCAGAGAGGAAAGUGCUUGUCUCUAAACCAUUCAGAUGUCUAGUUUCAAUACUCAAUUAGAUCGCCGUACACCCAAUCUUCAGGUCUGGAUUCUACACAUUUAUUACUCUAUCUACAUCCUAUAAAACUGUAUGAUAAUUGAAAUUAUUUGACUCAAAAUCGUUAACAUAAAUUUACUUUACAAUUUAAUGAAUAAAAAUAAAAAUAAAAAUAAUGAAUGAAUGAACCUUAAAAGUUUAAGGACUAAAAGAAACUAAAAAUACAAAUAAAAAUACGAAAUAAAAAUAAAAAUAAUACAUAUAUAUGUGUGUGUGCGUGUGUGUGUAUGUGUGUGUGUGUGUGUGUGUGUGUGUGUGUGUGUGUGUGUGUGUGUGUGUAAAAGAAUACAAACUGGGACAAGAACGCAAAACAUUUAGAAGACGAUACAAAAAACACGGAUGGUAUAUUCGAAGGUUUCAAUCUUCAGUCAAGAAGCCGAUCAUCCUCGCAAUUUCGGCUGAUUAAUCUUGAGAUUGCUCCAAUCUGGCCAGCCCCAAAGGAAAAUCUAAGUCAAGCGCAUUAGAUUCCUUGGAAGAAAGCUUCGAAUGUAUACAAAACAAGGACGGAAAAACGGACGAGGUACACGAAUAAGAAUACAAAAAUACGUAAAAACAAUAAUGAUAAUAAUAAUAACAAAAACAGGACGUCACAGACAGGCGUCUAUCGACAGGACGAGUAAACUUUGAGCUGGUGUGUUUAUAUAUAUAUAUAUGUAUAUAUAUAUUUAUAUAUAUAUACAUAUAUAAAUAGAUAUAGAUAUAGAUAUAGAUAUAGAUAUAGAUAUAUAUACAACAUCACAAAACCCUUUCGAACGAGCAAUACUGAUUCCACGGCUCCAUGCUUUGAAAUGACUAAACAUGAAGUGCUACGGGAACUUACAUACCAUGUACAGGAAACAUUUUUACCACUUCUAUGCACCAUUUUCCUCGAAUACUAGAACUGCAACUACAAUAUCUUUAUAUAUCUUAUUUCGACUUUCUCUCACUUCCCUCUAUAUUCCCUAUCUUUUCCACAAUAAUUCGAACUCAGAUAUUCUCUCACACCGUUUCUGAUGAAGGGAUAUCCAUAAUAUCCCAGAAACAGCUGUAAGACUAUUUCAUUAUAAAUGACCUGAAAACUCCUCACAGCCUUGGAUUUCUUAUCUUAUUCUGCCUAAUAUAUAUAUAUAUAUAUAUAUAUAUAUAUAUAUAUAUAUAUAUAUAUAUAUAUAUAUAUAUAUAUAUAUGUAUGGAUGGAUGGAUGGAUGGAUGUAUGUAUGUAUGUAUGUAUGUAUGUAUGUAUCAUUUAACGUCCGUUUCCAGCCUGGUCCAUUGUCUAUUUUUUAAUUUGCUUCUACGGCUCGAUGCCCUUCAUAACGCUGGACACUUUACAGAGUGUAGUGGGUGCCUUUUACGUGGUACCAUAAAAGUGCCAGUACCUUUCCUAUGGCACCAGUACUGGUGCUUUUUGCGUGACACAAGCAAGAUAGCAUUUUAUGCGGGACCCUGGUUUUAUGAUAUCAGUUUUCUUGUGAUCGGUGGGUCUUCUUGAGUAGAGCAAUAUGUCACAUCUCGGUCCCUUGCCAUCGCCUUCAUAAGGCCCAGUGUUUUGAGAUUGGCCUUCAAUACUUCGUCUCAUGUCUUCCGGGAUCUCCCUCGUCCACUUUGUAUGAUCGGCCCUUCUUUAUACAGCUGUCCUCAUUCCGCCCCCAAUCCAUCCAUCCAUCCAUCCAUCCACCCAUACAUACAUACAUACAUACAUAUACAUACAUACAUACAUACAUACACACACACAUACAUACAUACAUACAUACAUACAUGCAUACAUUCAUGCAUACAUACACACAUACAUACAUACAUACAUACAUACAUACAUACAUACAUACAUACAUACAUACAUACAUACAUACAUACAAACAUACAUACAUAUAUACAUACAAGCAUACAUACAUACAAAUUCUGUCAUCAAUGACAACAGGUUCCAUGAUGUGUCUGAGUGUGUGUGUUUGCGUCUCUGUGUGUGUUUGUGUGUAUGCUUGUGUCUGUAUGUAUUUGUGUCUGUGUUUGUAUGUGUGUGUUUUGUAUGUGUGCGUAUGUGUGUGCGUGUGUUUGUGUCUGUGUCUGUGUGUGUGUGUGUUUGUAUGUUCUUUCUUGUGUGUGUGUGAGUGUGCUUGUGUCCUCCCUACAUGAAACAAAUAUACAAGUUGAAGUAUUCCAGAGAUCAAUCACAAAGAAUAACUGACGAUAUGUCAGGUCUUUAUUACUGAGAUAGGACUCAAGAAACUUUAUUGCCUCCAACGCUACGGUGAGCACUACAUCAUUCGUAUGAGGUGGAACAUAUUCCGACAAGCGAAUAUUUUAGGAUCGUUGCCCUCUCGCCCGAGCAAAUUUUGCAUCGUUUGCUUCCAUUGAGUAAUGGUCCAGGCUGUUCCAGGAGCUUCCAUUUACUACUGUAUGGCCUUUCUUUUUCUUUUGAACGCCAUAUGUUGUUGGUCAAAGCCGUAAGAUUGUGCGUCAUUGGGAUCCUAGAAAAAGGACCUGUGCUAUUUGGUCCCAGUUUAAAGGAGUCCUCCCUUGCUACGACGUAUUUCCGUGUAUGUGUGUUUAGUUGUUGGUGCUGUUGCUACAAUCGCUGCCGUUGCUGCUGCAAUAUAUAUGUAUGUAUGUAUGUAUGUAUGUAUGUAUGUAUGUAUGUAUGUAUGUAUGUAUGUAUGUAUGCAUGCAUGUAUGUAUGUAUGUAUGUAUGUAUGUAUGUAUGUAUGUAUGUAUGUAUGUAUAGCGUAUUCUUUCCAUGCGUUAUAUAAAACCUGACUCUAAACAGAGAAAAUAGUUCAAAUACGUUUUUAUUUGUAAUACGUUUUAUAUUUCACAGGAAAAAGAGUCUCGACGCGGUUACAAAUAGAAACUUGUUUAUUGAUAUCACACGGUCUCUGAUGAACAAUUAAUUUUACUAAAUAAAGUCUGCAUAUCAAUGAAUGCUGAACACGUCAAGAUGAAAUAUGUGCAAAGCUGAACAAAGAAAUUUAGCUCUCAAAAAAUUUAGGCUAUAUGCAACAAAGGAAAUAAGUAUGAUAAUACAGAGAAAACAAUGUAAAAGCUCACAGAGUGUAACUUAAUGGAACGCGACAAAAUUCAGUGAAUAAAGUAUUUUGAGAGUUCGUUUUGAAGCGUUCAGGUAAUAGAAUAUUUAUUAGAAAGAAACAUGUCAUAAAAAAAUAUAGUUUGAAAAUAGGAAGAGCAAUUUAGAACUGAAUAUGAUAUAUAAGCAUAGGCGACGAGCUGGCGGGAUCGUUAGUAGGUCGGGUAAAAUGAGUAGCGGCAUUUCGUUUGUCUUCGUGUUAUGAGUUUAAAUUCUUGCAGAGGUAGAAUUUGCCAUACGGGGUGGAUAAAAUAAAUACCAAUUGAACGCUGGGGUCGAAGUAAUCGACUUAUCUUUUCCCUCAAAAUUGCUGGCCUUGUGUUAAAAUUUAAAGCGAUAUGCGAUAUACAUGCAGAAUUUAAUAGAAUGUGAUUGUGCGUAUGUGUGUGAGUAUGUGUGUGUGUGUGUGUGUGUGUGUGUGUGUAUGUGUGUGUGUGUGUGUCUUAUCAUGAUAGAGAGUGACAGAAAGAGGAGAGAAUGUGGGUGAAAGAGAAUGUGGAUGUGAGAGAAAAUGUCUUCGCUGUCUCGGCGAUCAGCUCAAACGAAAAUGAAAAAUGACGUUGCUUUUGUUAGAAAAAAAUGGAUGUCUCAAACGAAAUAUAUCUUUUCUGCUUCGAAAAGCUCUAAAGUUAAGAUUGAAUUAUUUGUGUUUAUUCAAUAUUUGCUGGAAAUAUUGUUAAAACAGAACCAUGUGACAUGCAGAGAAACAAACUCUUAUCUGGAAUUAUUUUCUAUUAGGCAACUUUUGACUGCAAAAAUACAAAGCUUGCUUUCAUUGGUUGAAUACAGUCACUUGAUAUACACACAAACCUAUGCAACUUCUUGGGUCACUUUUGCUAAUUUUAAAGCUUAAAAAACAAACUACAACAUAUAUUUUAUCUUUUUACUUGUUUCAAAUAAAUGAAUCAAAUGAAUCGACCCAAGUAGUUAUUAUUUUAUUGGUCUCUUUUGCCGAACCGCUAAGUUACGAGAAUGUAAAUGUACCAACACAAGUCGUCAAGCGGUAAUGGGAACAAGCACAAACACACACACAUUCUUUUCUACUCCAGGCACAAGGCCCGAAAUUUUGGGGGAGGGUCCAGUCAAUUAGAUUAACCCCAGUACGCAACUGGUACUUAAUUUAUCGACCUCGAAAGGAAGAAAGCAAAGUCGAUCACAGCGAAAUUUGAACACAAAACAUAAAGGCAGACGGAAUACUGCUAAGCCUUUCGCCCAGCAUGCUAAAGUUUCUUAUUUGU